CAGAUUUGCAUAAUGGACAAUGUUAUUAUUAAGAAAAUUGGUUUAUAUCUAUUAAAACAAAUGUUAAGUGCAUUUGUGAAAAGUUUCAUUUCAAAAAUAUUUUAUAAUAAUAAAAAAAAUACUAAAAUCGAAAAACCAUUUAUUAAAAUAAUUAUUGUAUAAAUGUAUAAUAAUAUAGUAUGUUAAAAGAAUAUUCAGUUUCUCAAUCCUGCUCCUUGGGUUAAAUCUGGUGUGGUAGAUAAGGGAGACAUCUAGGAUGUGUGUGAGAGUCGCGGUGGCAGGGUUGGGUUGGGAAGCCAUAGUGCAGGGCCACCAGGGGCAGUAUUGAGAAACACUUUAAAACACCUACAAACAUUUGACAGUGAGGGACAGCUUUUACACAACUGGCAUGGCUACAAUUCUCAGAAAUAAUAAUAUUGUCCAUUAUUCAGUAGCUUCCCGGAGAGAGAUCUUCAUGUGUUUUGCCCACAACAAAACUUGUGUUGUAUGUUGGUCUGGAGCAGGUGGAACCUUCAUAAAGAUGAUUAAGAGUAGGAAUGCUUUUGAAAGCUUUCGGAAACAACUAGAACCACCUCCAGACUGCAUACAACACUUUAAGGCAAACACAUCUCUCUUCGUUAAAUCUCUUUCUGGCGGUUCGAAUGCCAGAGCGGACUCAGUGGAACAGUACACAAGCAGUGCGAGCAACUGAAAUUGUUAACUGCAACUGACCCACAAAGACUGCCUUGCUAAAGACAACGCAGGGCCGUCCUUAGGGUGGUGCCACACUGGGCCCCAAGGUUUAGGGAAUGGACCGAUUGGGCAGUUUGCCCCCAACCCCAACCUGGCCUCACACUGGGUCCACGCUAGCUUGGGAUGACACUGGCACGACGGUAAGCCUUUUGAUCAUAUAUAGCAGAUAAAAAAAUUAAACAAAUUACAUUGUAGUUAACUUACUUGCAUAGUGAGAGCUGAGUCAAAGCUUUUCAAUAAAAUUAUUUAAAUUGUGCA
ensembl:lncRNA